CCCGUCACAUCACGAAAGUGGGCUGUACUAGAAGUGGCUGAGCUAACUCGCAAGAGAGGCAGGUUACGACGGUAUGGUUCAUGAUUGGGGUG
rnacentral:rRNA from 1 species